rnacentral:rRNA from 1 species
CCUACGGGGGGCAGCAGUGGGGAAUAUUGGACAAUGGGGGCAACCCUGAUCCAGCCAUGCCGCGUGUGUGAAGAAGGCCCUCGGGUUGUAAAGCACUUUCAGUGAGGAAGAACGCCUGGUGGUUAAUACCCAUCAGGAAAGACAUCACUCACAGAAGAAGCACCGGCUAACUCCGUGCCAGCAGCCGCGGUAAUACGGCGGGUGCGAGCGUUAAUCGGAAUUACUGGGCGUAAAGCGCGCGUAGGUGGCUUGAUAAGCCGGUUGUGAAAGCCCCGGGCUCAACCUGGGAACGGCAUCCGGAACUGUCAAGCUAGAGUGCAGGAGAGGAAGGUAGAAUUCCCGGUGUAGCGGUGAAAUGCGUAGAGAUCGGGAGGAAUACCAGUGGCGAAGGCGGCCUUCUGGACUGACACUGACACUGAGGUGCGAAAGCGUGGGUAGCAAACAGGAUUAGAUACCCUAGUAGUC